GCCGGGCUUGGUGGCACAUACCUGUAGUCCCAGCUACUUGGGAGGUGAGGCUGGAGGAUCGCUUGAGUCCAGGAGUUCUGGACUGUAAUGCACUGUGCCUAUCAGGUGUUGGCAUGAAGUUUGGCAUCAAUAUGAAAACCUCCUGGGAGCAGGGGAACAACCAGGUUGCCUAAGGAGGGGUGAACCGGCCCAGGUCGGAAACGGAGAUCUGUAGGAGGAUCAUGCCUGUGAAUAGCCACUGUACUCCAGCCUGAGCAACAUAGUGAGACUCCAUCUCUU
ensembl:misc_RNA Metazoa_SRP Metazoan signal recognition particle RNA